CGGCGGCGGGAGCAGCAAGGAGGAGCUGGCCGCCCGGCGCUGCGCCCGGAGCUGCCCCCGCGAUCGCGCCCGCCGGGUCACCAGAGCCCCGAGCCCCGCCCUCGCCUCACCUGGCAUAGGUGGACCCCUGUGUGUGCCGUAGGUGUCAGGAGAAGGCGCAGGCAUGGCAGACAGUGCCAACCACUUGCCCUUCUUCUUUGGCAACAUCACCCGGGAGGAGGCUGAAGACUACCUGGUCCAGGGGGGCAUGAGCGACGGGCUCUACCUGCUUCGCCAGAGCCGCAACUACCUGGGUGGCUUCGCGCUGUCGGUAGCGUAUGACAGGAAGGCGCAUCACUACACCAUCGAGCGCGAGCUGAAUGGGACCUAUGCCAUCUCGGGCGGUAGGACCCACGGCAGCCCGGCCGAGCUCUGCCACUACCACUCCCAGGAGCUGGACGGCCUCGUCUGCCUGCUCAAGAACCCUUUCAACCGGCCGCCAGGGGUGCAGCCCAAGACCGGCCCCUUUGAGGACCUGAAGGAGAACCUCAUCCGGGAAUACGUGAAACAGACAUGGAACCUCCAGGGUCAAGCCCUGGAGCAGGCAAUUAUCAGCCAGAAACCUCAGCUGGAGAAGCUGAUUGCCACCACAGCCCAUGAAAAAAUGCCCUGGUUCCAUGGAAAAAUCUCUCGGGAUGAAUCUGAGCAGAUUGUCCUGAUAGGAUCAAAGACAAAUGGGAAGUUUUUGAUCAGGGCCAGGGACAACGGGUCUUAUGCCCUGUGCCUGCUGCACGAGGGGAAGGUGCUGCACUACCGCAUCGAUAAGGACAAAACUGGGAAGCUUUCCAUCCCCGGCGGGAAGAACUUCGACACCCUCUGGCAGCUCGUGGAACAUUAUUCUUAUAAAUCAGAUGGUUUGUUAAGAGUUCUUACAGUUCCAUGUCAAAAAAUUGGUGGGCAAACGGGAAAUGAUAGUUUUCGUCCACAACUUCCAAGUGCUCAUCCUGCGACUUGGUCAGCGGGUGGAAUAAUCUCAAGAAUCAAAUCAUACUCCUUCCCAAAGCCUGGCCACAGAAAGGCCUCCUCGCCCCAAGGGAACCGGCCAGAGAGUUUGGUGUCGUACAACCCUUACGAGUCAGACCGAGGGCCCUGGGCCAACGAAAGAGAGGCCAGGAGAGAGCAUGCCCCUAAACUUAGUAGCUUAAAGCAAUCAUCAUUUAAGUAUCCCAUGCAGGUCAGCCCACAGCAAUGCCAUAUCCUUAACCAACUGAACAUAAUUUCAACCAAAGGUUUGGGGAGAGGAGAGUUUCCCACUGUACAGCAAGGGGAUUAUCAAAUGGAAAAAGUUGUGAAAACAGUGGCUGUGAAAAUCCUGAAAAAUGAGGCCAAUGAUCCCGCUCUUAAAGAUGAGUUAUUAGCAGAAGCAAACGUCAUGCAACAGCUGGACAACCCUUACAUAGUUCGCAUGAUCGGAAUAUGUGAAGCCGAGUCCUGGAUGCUGGUUAUGGAGAUGGCUGAACUUGGUCCACUCAACAAAUAUUUACAGCAGAACAGGCACGUCAAGGAUAAGAACAUCAUAGAGCUGGUUCAUCAGGUGUCUAUGGGAAUGAAAUACUUGGAAGAGUGCAAUUUUGUGCACAGAGAUCUGGCUGCAAGGAAUGUAUUGUUGGUUACUCAACAUUAUGCCAAGAUCAGUGACUUUGGACUCUCCAAAGCACUCCGUGCCGAUGAAAACUACUAUAAGGCCCAGACCCACGGGAAGUGGCCCGUGAAAUGGUACGCUCCGGAAUGCAUCAACUACUACAAGUUCUCCAGCAAGAGCGACGUCUGGAGCUUCGGAGUGUUGAUGUGGGAAGCGUUUUCCUAUGGACAGAAGCCAUAUCGGGGGAUGAAAGGAAGCGAAGUUUCUGCUAUGCUGGAGAAAGGAGAGAGGAUGGGGUGCCCCCCGGGGUGUCCAAGAGAGAUGUAUGAGCUGAUGACGCUGUGCUGGACCUAUGACGUGGAGAACAGGCCUGGAUUUGUAGCGGUGGAGCUCAGGCUGCGCAAUUACUACUACGAUGUGGUUAAUUAACGUCUCCCACGCCCGUCCGUGGCUGCCUUUGAGCAGAUGAGCAGUCGCAGGAAGACCAUUCCAGUGCCUUGAUUUUGAGUCUCCAUCUCCCUCUGCCCAUCAGGAGAGCCAGCUCAGGUGGAGCAUAUCCGUGACUGUUGUUCCCCAAAGCCUGUCCCCGAACAAGCCUUCCACAGAGCAGACCCCUCCCGGAGGAGGCCCAGAUUGAUGGAUGGACACCAGGAUUGCAGGACCGGUGGAUUCAUGUUUCUUGUCUGGGUGGCAGGUUAUUUGCAGGAUCGGUUUCCAAAUUCCUUUCUGUCUUUCCAGUUCUGGGGCUGUGGGCUGCACUGGAAUCACCAUAGGGGGUUAAGCGCCCGUUAGCUGCUCUUUCAGUGGCCAGAGGGUGCCACUGGCCGGUGAUGCCUGCAAGGAGGGAAGGAAGGAAGAGACGGGCUUUGGCUGCCACUGGAACGUGGCUCUUACAGGUCCCAAGACUGAGUCCUGCCACUGGAAAACUUUCCCCCAUAAAAGUGCUUUGAGGCUUAAAAAAAAAAAAAAAAAAUCAAGCUGGACCAGUGCAGUUUCUAAGCCAGUAGCUCAGUUAAGGGAAAAAAAAAAAAAAAAAAAA
rnacentral:lncRNA from 1 species